UACGGAGGGUGCGAGCGUUGUCCGGAAUCAUUGGGCGUAAAGGGCGCGUAGGUGGCCCGGUCAGUUCGUGGUGAAAGCGCGGGGCUCAACCCUGCGUCGGCCAUGAAUACUGCCGCGGCUGGAGCACUGUAGAGGCAGGCGGAAUUCCGGGUGUAGCGGUGGAAUGCGUAGAGAUCGGGAAGAACGCCAAGGGCGAAGGCACUCUGCUAGGCCUGAUUUCGCGACUGACACUCAGGGACGAGAGCCAGGGGAGCGAAUGGG
rnacentral:rRNA from 1 species